AUACUUACCUGGCAGGACAGCUACCAUGAUCAUGAAGGUGGUUUCCCAGGGCAAAGUGUUACCUGUUGUACUCUGGAUGUGCCGACCCCUGCCAUUUCCCCGAAUGUGGGAAACUUGACUGCUUACUUUGUGGUGGUGGAGGACUGCGUUCAUGUUCUCCCUGG